UUCGUUAUUUCGUCGUAAGCAAAACGUGCAGAAUAUAUUGUUGAAACGUGUAGGAGAUAUUAGUAAACAGUAUUUGCUCGUUCUAUAUAUAAUAGUAAGAUUACCCCUCAAACAUAUGGAUGUAAACACAGUGCACCGUUAGAUGCAACGUUUGUUCUCAUUUUUUUCUUUAUUGAUGUUCUAAUAAAAAUGUUUAAUUGUUCAAUUGGGCACUUUUUAUUUCAAAGUAUCUUCUAUUUAUUGGUUAUAUUCAAAAUGCCCUAACUGUCAAUUUUCGUUCAAUUUUUACAAUUGUAAGAAGUUA
rnacentral:misc_RNA from 1 species